GAUGAACGCUGGCGGCGUGCCUAAUACAUGCAAGUCGAGCGAACGGACGAGAAGCUUGCUUUUCUGAUGUUAGCGGCGGACGGGUGAGUAACACGUGGAUAACCUACCUAUAAGACUGGGAUAACUUCGGGAAACCGGAGCUAAUUCCGGAUAAUAUUUUGAACCGCAUGGUUCAAAAGUGAAAGACGGUCUUGCUGUCACUUAUAGAUGGAUCCGCGCUGCAUUAGCUAGUUGGUAAGGUAACGGCUUACCAAGGCAACGAUGCAUAGCCGACCUGAGAGGGUGAUCGGCCACACUGGAACUGAGACACGGUCCAGACUCCUACGGGAGGCAGCAGUAGGGAAUCUUCCGCAAUGGGCGAAAGCCUGACGGAGCAACGCCGCGUGAGUGAUGAAGGUCUUCGGAUCGUAAAACUCUGUUAUUAGGGAAGAACAUAUGUGUAAGUAACUGUGCACAUCUUGACGGUACCUAAUCAGAAAGCCACGGCUAACUACGUG
rnacentral:rRNA from 1 species